ACAAAGGCUCUUUUAAGAGCCACCCACACGUCUGUAGAGAGCUGU
rfam:Gasterosteus aculeatus cont1.001740, whole genome shotgun sequence.